rnacentral:lncRNA from 1 species
AAAUGAAGUGAAAUCACAAGACAUACUCAUAUGGGGGCUAGCAAAAAUAUUCCUCCCUUUUGUUUAACUUUUCUCUUCACUCGUUUCUUUUGCACUUUCUUUUAUUUCUCUCUUGUUUCCCUCUUUUUCAUUUUUAAUUUCUUUUUCAAAGUUCUUUUCUUGCUCAUACUUUUCUUUCUCUUUUCUUUCAAUUUCAAUUUCUUUUUCUUUUUCUUUUUCUUUUUCAUUUUUCUCUUCUCGUUUUUCUUUUACCUCACUUGUUUUUAC